rnacentral:rRNA from 1 species
UACGUAGGUGGCAAGCGUUACUCGGAAUCACUAGGCGUAAAGCGCAGGUAGGAGGUUUGGUAAGUCUGUUGUGAAAGCUCCCGGCUUAACUGGGAGAGGUCAACGGAAACUACUAGGCUAGAGUCCGGUAGGGGAGACUGGAAUUCCUGGUGUAGCGGUGAAAUGCGCAGAUAUCAGGAGGAACACCGGUGGCGAAGGCGGGUCUCUGGGCCGGAACUGACGCUGAGGAGCGAAAGCGUGGGGAGCGAACAGG